CCUACGUGCGGCAGCAGUGAGGAAUAUUGGUCAAUGGACGAGAGUCUGAGCCAGCCAAGUAGCGUGAAGGAUGACUGCCCUAUGGGUUGUAAACUUCUUUUAUAAAGGAAUAAAACGAGGCACGUGUGCCUUUUUGCAUGUACUUUAUGAAUAAGGAUCGGCUAACUCCGUGCCAGCAGCCGCGGUAAUACGGAGGAUCCGAGCAUUAUCCGGAUUUAUUGGGUUUAAAGGGAGCGUAGAUGGGUUGUUAAGUCAGUUGUGAAAGUUUGCGGUUCAACCGUAAAAUUGAAAUUGAUACUGGCAGUCUUGAGUACAGUUGAGGUAAGCGGAAUUCGUGGUGUAGCGGUGAAAUGCUUAGAUAUCACGAAGAACCCCGAUUGCGAAGGCAGCUUACUAAACUGUGACUGACAUUGAUGCUCGAAAGUGUGGGUAUCAAACAGGAUUAGAUACCCUAGUAGUC
rnacentral:rRNA from 1 species